CACUGCGUGCUCUGAUUGGUUUGUGCAUGUUCAAGUCAAAGGCACAAAAUAACUCCAUAGUAGCAUCGCUGCGUCGUGCUGUGCGAAGCCCACCGCUACCCCCUCGUGCCACCCAUCAAUACUCAUAAUAAAUUGAAUAUAUUUUCUGUACAUUUCUGUUAUUACUGUAAAUAUGCCUGUCAAUAUGCAUGCCUGCCAAUGCAUUAAAGUGACUGACAGUACUGCACACUGCAUGGCAGUGUCUUAUUAAAAUAUUUUUCUAUUUAUCAACAGGAAGCAAAUCACAUAAAAACAUUAUCCUCAUUAUUCAGUGUCCUUUGGAGGAGCCAGUGGACUUUGUAGACGGUUGGACUUGAGGUCUAGGGAGAGGAGGUAGAGGAGGAACCGUUAUUCGCAGCCUUAUACUGUACCUCGGGGAGAAGGAGGAGAAACUUAUUGAAGACUGCUUGGAGGACAGCUGGAGUGACGUCAAUAAACAUAUCCUGAAAAUACAUGUUCUCCACGGUGCUGAUGAGGAUCCAGUUGAUGUCUCCAUCCUUGAAGGCCUGGAGAUUUUGGCAGCAUUCAACAGUACUGCAAAAGCCUGCUCGCUCCUCCUGGGACUGAAAUAUGCCCUGAACUUGGCAUACCCUUCACUGAUCUCUAUUUAUUCACUGGAUUGCUGAUUCGCCGUUGUUAGUACACAUCUCUGUGAAGCCACCAGCCGCCAUAUUGGUACUCUUUAUUUUCCCCCAGUAACUUGGGAAUAUGUGCUCUACAGCAUUAAAUAACGAGGAUUUUCUCAUGUUCAGGGGAGGCUUAAAACAUUUAAAAUGUCAAAUGCCAUAUACUUUUAUGUUAUGUACUAAAACUAUUAAGUACUGCGGAAGUCAUGUGCUGAAAUAUAUUGCAUGUUAUUUAUAUACACGCACACGUAUAUAUAACAUGCAAUAUAUUUCAGCACAUGACUUUCUCAGUACUUAAUAGUUUUAGUA